rnacentral:lncRNA from 1 species
UAUAGCCACUGGUGGAACAGAAAGAUGUCCUUGAAGAAUCUUCUAAGCAUACCAGAUCCUGCCUUAAUGCAGAAAUUUAGGAACAUGUGCAGACUCUGGAGCCUGGCUUCAUGCUGUGAUGGCUGGAAACCUGUUGUGUGAUGCAACACUGAGGAGCAAGCAAGCCCGGGGCUCCUACUGUGACCCAAGAGAGAAGGGGCUCCAGACCUGGGCAGAAAGAAGUGAACCAGAGAAGCACAACCUUUGGUAGAAUGAUCUGUG